UCAUUGUUUACACCAUUCCAGGAGACAGGAAUAGUGGAACCCUGGCAGCGAGAUUCUUCCAACAGAGCCUUAACGUCCAGAUGGCUGUGAACCUUCACACCACGAAUCUUGUUACACCUGGGAUUUUGGUGCCUUUAAUCUGAGAAAGAGUACAUAUCCAUUCAAUAAUCCAAAAGGACUUGAAAACUGCUCUUCUCUAAACUAAAGCUGGAAUAUCAUUGGAUUUAAAGAAUCAAGGCUGAGCAGUGAUUUCAGAAGCGUUCUGAGGUCCCGUGGAAGGUCUGCCUCUCUCCAGCCUUGGGUUCUCUGCCUUCUUGAGCAUCUCAGGGUCCAGAAGAAAAAGAAGAAAGCUUACCAGUUCUGGGAGCAGUUUGGAUGAAGAGAGUUUUUAGAUGAGAAAACUGCUCCUCAGAGAUGUUCAACAGCUUGGCAGAGGUCACACAGCUACUACAACACAUUUCAAGAGAAUCAGCCACCUGCCUCUGAGAUUGUGCCAGACCUGUGGACAGAACCACGUGAGAUGCUAAGGAUUGCCAGAGGAAACUGAAUGUCUGUGUCCGUAGAAGCUUGGGAAGUGCAUUUGGCCCUCAGAAUUCCACAGGACUGGAUAGGAGGUGAUGUUAGAGCCAGUGUCGCCUCUGCCCUGAGCUGCUUGAGUUCCCUUGGGCAGGUCAUUUCCUCUCACUGUACCUUACUUUUCUCAUCUGUAUAGUGGGCUCAGUGAGUGUCUUUCAGCUCUUAGAGUCUGAAUAACAGGGUUUAGAUAGUGCCACCAGAUGGACAUAAAGAAUAUAUUAGCUUACAUGCUGUUUUGUGUCAGAGUGGGAAAGGGGAUAUUUAAAACUAUAUUUAAAUGCUAGUUUUAAUUAACUAGAUUUUAUUAUAUUUUAAUUUAAAGAUAGUAUAAAAUUUUAAAAUAGAGAUCUGUUCCAGAGCCCUUAAAUGUCACAAACAGUCUGUGAUUGUCCAAGAAUGUAUCGCCUUUGGGUCUUACUCUUCUUUCUUGUUACUUUAUUAUCCAAUUAAAGUGUAUAUGUUUGUUU